rnacentral:rRNA from 1 species
UACGAAGGGGGCUAGCGUUGCUCGGAAUCACUGGGCGUAAAGAGCGUGUAGGCGGCUCGGUAAGUCCGCUGUGAAAGUCGGGGGCUCAACCCUCGAAUGCCGGUGGAUACUGUCGAGCUAGAGUGCGGAAGAGGCGAGUGGAAUUCCUGGUGUAGCGGUGAAAUGCGCAGAUAUCAGGAGGAACACCGAUUGCGAAGGCAGCUCGCUGGGACGUUACUGACGCUGAGACGCGAAAGCGUGGGGAGCAAACAGG